GAGGACCUUUUCACAGACCUGUACUGAUAUAUCUGUGAGGAUAAGUAACUCUGAGGAGGCUGGCCCUACAUCACAGCCUUCUCAUCCUUUAGAGAUUUCUUGGUGUAGAAGUAACCCGAUGCUAACUUCUCUACAGGUUUGAGGUGCCACCUUACAAAAGGAUGGGUGUACGCUCUCUUUUCAGAAUGUGGUUCAUCUCAAAGCCCUUUACACUUUGGAGCCAGGCCUGUUCAAUUUUACAAAUAACACGUUUUGCUUGUAGUCAGGGUGCUGUGACAACAUGAAGAGUUCGAGCUACCUCCCAGGAUGAGUGCAGGUUUUCCUGGUGACAAAUCUCAGGCAUUCAAAGGUUCUGUUAGCAGUGCCAUACUUGUGGGUUUACAGAGAUGGUGUGUCUGGCUGAGAACAAAGGAGCCGUACCAGGAAAGUUGAAGCAUAUCUUCAUUUUCAAGUCCAGGCUAAAAUAAGGUCUGAGGAAAAGAAUGAGCUGCGUGUGAAGGAUAGGAACAGAAAUCAUGAAAGAUCUGUUUGUCCAGGCCAGUGUUUCACCAUAAGAGAUCACUUUAAAAUAAAUGAUGAAAUAAUUCUUUGCAAUUGCAAAUUUACCUUCCUUGCUUACCACAUUGUUAACUGUAGGAGCUGAUACCUGGUUCUUCCACUGUUAACUUGUACUCUGUGUUUGUUCUAGCAAUAAAUGCUCUUUAUGCUA
ensembl:processed_transcript Snhg1 small nucleolar RNA host gene 1